UACGAAGGGUGCAAGCGUUACUCGGAAUUACUGGGCGUAAAGCGUGCGCAGGCGGUUCGUUGUGUCGGCGGUGAAAGCCCCGGGCUUAACCUGGGAAUGGCCGUUGAAACUGGCGAACUGGAGUGUGGCAGAGGGGGGUGGAAUUCCGCGUGUAGCAGUGAAAUGCGUAGAGAUGCGGAGGAACACCGAUGGCGAAGGCAGCCCCCUGGGCUAACACUGACGCCUCAGGCACGAAAGCGUGGGGAGCAAACAGG
rnacentral:rRNA from 1 species